ACUCAACCCUCUUCAACAUUAACGAAGCUCUGGUCUGUGCUGUCUUCAUCCUGCUGGUGCUGUCUGUGUUCACAGAGGCCAAGGUGAGGCAUCCUUCAACCACAGAGGUCAAGGUGAAUGGAACCAAAAUGCCAGACAGGGCAAUCGGGGGCAAGCACCCUCACUCUUCGGUUUUUGCUGUAGUUGGGGCUGAUGGUUGCACCUGCCUUACUUCAAACUCUGCUGUAACACUUGGUAUGCUCUCAUUGCACAGGACUCUGCAGAACUUCUGCAACAACAGUGGCAACAACAUAAGAAUAACUUCUAUGACUAGGCCUACUAUAUUUACUGGUACUGUAGACCUAGCUGACCCGUUUCCAUGAUUGAACACCAUAAAAGACCCAAAUGAUCUUGUAAUAAUCAUACAGAUACACAAAUAAAGUUGUGCA